CUCUGCAAGCAUCACAGCUCUGCUUAGACAAAACUGAAUUUCAGCUUGUGGUUCUGCAUCAAAGGUCACAGGGGGGCAUUGUCUUCAAUGCUCACUCCAAUGUCCACAAUGAAAAACCCACACUGAUGAUCCAUGUUUGAGUGAGUCCCUGUCAUUAAUUUAAGCCACAAUGAUGCACACAGCACCCCUCAAUUUUGUUUUGUAGUCAACAAGUCUCUCUAUUCGCUCAGCAAACUGGUCUUCCUCUGCUUUAUUAAAACCACACAGUCUCAGUGAUUCAA